rnacentral:rRNA from 1 species
UACAGCUCCGGGGAUCCACCUCUACCCAUACCGAACAGAGAAGUUAAGCCCGGACGCGCCGAUGGUACUGCCCGAGGGCGGGUGGGAGAGUAGGUUGCUGCCGCAU